CAAGGCUCCACUAUAUAACCGGCUAUGCGAUUCCUCCGCAUACAGCAGAUCACACAGCUCACUCACUCACUCAUCUCACUCUUCUACUGAUAAUCAUCCUCGCUCUUCCCCCUGGCGAGAAGGGAAGACGCCCUCCGUCCAUCCAUGGAGCUCUUUGCAGCAGCCGAGGAGAAGCCGUGCAGGCUGUUCAGGAAGAGGAGCGGCGGCAAGGCCGCCAUGGGCGGCGACGGCGGCAAGGGCCGAUCCUUCUCCGGGCGGUGCGCGCGGCUCGUCAAGGAGCAGCGCGCGCGGUUCUACAUCAUGCGCCGGUGCGUCACGAUGCUGGUGUGCUGGCGCGAGUACGCCUGAGUGUCCUGACGUGGGGGCACAGAGGCUGCGGCGCCGCAUGCAGGAUGCAAGCAAGCUGAGGAGGAGGAGCAGCAGCAGCAGCCGAGCAACGUCAAGAUGCUCGAUCCCCGUCUGCUCGUUUAAUUAGGAAUCAAGAACCUUGUGUAAAGAGAAGAUUUUUUCUUCUUCUUCUUGUUUUCUGCUCUUGUAGUCUUGCUCUUUCAGCACUUGAACCUGUAUUGUUGUUCCAUUUGGAGCAGAGCUAUGCAGGCUAACUACUAGAUGAUCACGGCAAGUGCUGGGCGUUUCUGCUAUUCCAAUGUAAUGUGAGCAUGUGACUAUGUGAUGAGCAUCUAGUAUACAGGAACUUAAGCUGUUUAGCUUCGUGCUGGUAACUGUGCGCCUGAGGCUCUGAGCCCAUUGUCUGGCUCCUCCUCCUCGAUGCCGUGCGGUGAUUCCUCAUCGGAGUGCGAUUCCACUGUUGCUCUGCUAUUUCUUUACGAUUUCCCCCCUGUACGGUAAUCCGUAAUCCUGAAAAAGCGGCCAGAAAAUUAUCACCAGUUGCUACCGCUUCUCACUGCCAAAUGCAUGUGUCGGAUCGCCGAUGCUGACCCAUAAGCAUACGGAUUGACACUGACAGGGUUUUACGGAUAAUUCUUACUGUAAUUUAUCUGGAGUUACCAUAAUGGCAUGAUGUAACAGUAGUCAAGGCCGAAGGUUGUAGGAGGAGCCAAAAGAGGAGGGAGGGAAACGGGGCGACAGACGCUGGCUGCAACACGACCAUUCCCCGCGCCGGGAAGACGUUGCUGCUGGCGGACUCCCGAGGCCGGGGCGGGGUUUGCUGACGCGCUGCAUAAUUUACUCCCAAAACGACGCCUCCGUAUCUGAGCGCUCCUGUCCCGGCUGUAGGCUAUGGCCUGCACGCCACCGCUUCCUCCCACUUGGUCCAAUUGCAAUUGGGGCAAUCCCUCUCAGCUCAGGGAUCAUACAUUCAUCUGCGCGUCUAGUAGUUACUACGAUACAUAUACUAGCAAGCAGGCUACGACGACCGGUCCUCUACAGUCAUCUACUAUGAGCAUCCCAAACCACUGUUCAUCCAUUCCAGGGCACCAGUAUUAGCUGUAGUAAGCGUCAUCAUCGUCCAUCCUUGCAUCUGCAAUGAGCCAAUGACCUCUGUCAAUUGACAGGAGAGAUACAAUUCUUUGGGAGGCCUAGCUCUGACCUAGUAUGCCUAUAGAUUACGGCACCAGUUUUUGCAUUGCUGCCACGCAUAUUCCCCUUCCCAUGCUUCCUCUUCUUGCUCUGCUUCUCGCCCUUAAACAAACCUAACACGCUGCUCCUCUUACGUCGGGGCGGGUUUGCUUCAGCGAUCCAUCGAUGCUGAAGAUGCCAGGGACCCAUGCCCGCUCACCCUGCCAUGCUACUAACGCUUGCAUCGCAUUGCAUUGCAUGCGGCGCAGGAUCAUCAGCUGCACCGGCGCGCGCGCAGUGGCUGCCAUGGCAGUGGUCCUGCGAUCCGGGCUGUGGAGGUGGACUGGUGGAGCGCGAGUCCUCUCCUCGCUCCCUAGGUAGGCCUUUGCAGCAGGUAAACCAACCCCGGUGUAAGCCAACAGAGAGGAUGCACGACGCAGGACCCCCACCUCGCGCACUGUCUCGAUGCAAAAGCCCGCAGAGGCCCAGCACGGCCGCCUGCAUACGGCUCCUGGAUGGAUGCCUCUGUGCUUUGUACCGCAAAGCCGGCCCUUCCGGAGACUUCAUCCAUAUCCGACAUGUACUGUUUCGGUGGAAUGCUAAAAAAAAUUAACAAAGAAUUUCGAGGAGGACAGACAUCAAUUGCAGACCACAUCAUUCGUGUACGUAAACAAAUAAAUAUUCUUGUUUUCAUCGUCGUCAUCAGUGCUACUAUUUCAGUUUAUGUGCAUAAAAAACCUAGGCUUACUCAGCCAUGAUAUGGCUUGCUGAGGCAAACUGUAGAAGUAAACGUUAGUGUUUCAAUCCUGACAGACAAAAAUGGUUGUGGUUUUGUACUUUUGUACAAGUUAUAGUCAUUGCAGGGUAGCCUAAUGCUCGGUUUGUUGGCCUUCUGCACGCACGGCCCUUCUUGAUGCAGAGCUAGCCGUUGCUGAGACUACGGAUUUAACCGUGGAUGGGGGUGCUGUUAAAGAUGGUGAUUAGGAAAGCAAAGGCGGACGCUGUUGCGCCUUCAGACAUCCUUCCCCUUGUCGAGGGUAUCUCUCUGCAUCUUGCUGUAGCCAGCAGUAACCUGUGCGGCCAAGCGCUGCUGCUCCCUGAUGCGAGACGAUCAUAGGUUUAUGCAGUUCCAAAGGACUGUUGGCUUUUCAUUAAAAGCACACAGAUAAACGAUAGUAAAUCAACCAUGAAUACAUACUGAAAUGCAACCAACUCACCAGUUCAUGACAAUGCAAGAGUUCUACAGGUUUAUCGUUAGCUGCACUACACAAGAGUAAUAAUGUACUUGUACCUUUUUUUUCGCGAUCGGGUCAUUCACCCGUUUUUCAUUAAGAGGGAAACAAACAGCGAACAAACAAGAGUUCCCAGCACACUACGGCGAGGAGCCAAAGUGACCGGGAAGGGUUACAAACACCACAGCCAAAAGUUAAUUACUUGUACCUUGUGUGCAGUUCAUUAUGAAGUUACGCUUUCAAUGGGAGGUUUUCGACACUAGUCGCGAUGACAGCUCCGUUUUCUAGCUUUUGUUUAGACUUUGUUUGGAUGUAGUCGGAUUCGCAUCAAUCCACAUGUGUUGAGAUGAAUUGGAGUGGAACUUGAACUAAAUUCCACCCCAAUCCACUUCAACAUAUGUGGAUUGAGGUGAAUCCGACAACAUCCAAAAAAGACCUUAGUUGUAUUUUUUUUACAAAAUGGAUAUUGUACCGUUUUUGUUUAUAUUUAACAAAUAUUGUGCAAUCAUAUACUAAUUAGACUUAAAAUAUUCGUUCUUUCAAAUUAAAGGUAAACUGUACAGUUAAUUAUUUGUUAUCUAUAUUUAAAGUUUUAUAUAUGUGCCACAAAAUUCGAUGUGACGGAGAAUCUUGAAAACUUUUAAAAAAAAUUGAGAAAGUAAACAAGACCCUAAUUUCAAAUUGGAGAGGGGACUACCAUCAAGGAACGCGAUAUACAGUAGCUGCCACAACCACGAAAGGGAAUGCAUGCUCUGAUUUAAGGCAUGGCCAUCUCUUAAGCAUUUUGUUUUGUUAUCCCUCCUCGUACUGUUGUAGUUGUGCUUUGUUCGGCGAUCGUGGGUCGCGUUGGUUUCUCCUUUUUUUUUUUUUUGCCUGCUUUCUCGUUUCAGGUGCGGGCAACCUUUUGGUUUCCUGUUGUUUUUACCGUUGUUGGUUCGUUGUUCUCUACUUCCUCUUAAUUAAUGAAAUACGUGCCAGAACACGUUGGUUAAAAAAUUAUUGCACCGAUUUGUUGAAUGUUGAACACUGGAGACCUCGCGGGAAUCAGAUGUAAGCCACGGUAUGUAUAUGGAGCUGCGGGAUCACUAGGGACACCGUCUUACAAUAAUGCUUUUCGUUUUAAUUUCACAGGCAUUAAAAUCCAAGUUCCUGAAAUUGCUAGUCCAAACGUAACAGUAACAUCAUAUUUCUUGCAGUGCAACUCUCAUGCUUGAGAUGGAGCUAGGGUGGCAUGUAUGCUGAGGAAAAUCUGAAUAUCUAUUUUUCCUUUUCGUGAUAGUCAAUUUCGAUUUGUAGAAUAGUAAAAUUUGCAGGCGGUCUCAGAACUUGCAUAAUGAUGUCAUUUAGGUCCUUAAAUCUCCAAUUUUGAUAUUUGAAUCCCCAAACCUGACACCAACUCUAGAAUUUUGAUAUCUGGGACCCAAAACUUUAUUUGGUGGUGAUCCAAACGAACUUUGAUCUGCUCUAGGCACUGGUGUGGCGCGUCAACUGUAUGUUAACGUGAACCUGGCAUGUGAAACCCAUGUGGCAACGUCUCUGUUCUCGCUCUCAAAGCUCAUCAUUCAUUCAUUCUCCAUUGCAAGCCAGACACCAGCUUUCAAACACCAAACCUGGUGAAGGCGCCUGCCAUCACGAUAUGCUAGUGUGGCCAAGGCCGAGAGCAGAUGUGUGCCAAUUUUGCCCAGAGCAGAUCAGAGUUCUUUUUUUCUUCCUUUUUUGUUCUUUUGUUUAGGUGUAAUAUGUGAAUCAAUUUUUUUUUUGAAACUGAAUAUGUGAAUCAAUAUUAGCAUCGCAUAAGACAAACUUGGUUUACCUAGGCUCCAAACUCUCAAAUUUUCCGCAGCUACCUCUGCACUCCCGGCCUCCCCUUCCCUCCCUACCUCUCUCUGUGCGCCUCGGCCCAGCCUGGUGCCUGCUAGCACCGGCAUGCUUCUCAGCCCGACCCUACACAAAAAUUGGCCCAGUAGGCCGUGCCUGCCCCGUCGGCUAGGCACGAAGCCUAGCUCGGCACGGCCCGUGGCACGCCGUGCUCUUCAUGGCCCGGCCUGGUCGGGCCAUGCCGUGUCGGGACGAGCCAUCUAUAUUCAAAACUACUACUAUGAUUAUAUUUCAUCCGUCAAUAAAAGAAUGCAAUUAUUAGAUUCAUACCGAUUAAAUUAACUUAAAUUUAAUUGAGUUUAUAGUAAAUAAUAUUAGUAUUUACGUCUCUAAACAAAAUUUAUUUAUGAAAAUAUAACUAAUCUAAUGAUACUUAUUUAUAUCAUGAAUUAUAGCAAUUUUUUAUAUAAAUUUAGUUAAAAUUUAAACUGUUUGACUUCUCAAAAAAAUUACAUUCCUUAGGGAAUACCAGUUUUCUAUAGCAUUUUAUCUGUUCGAAAUUAUGGACAGCAUAUAUGCAAAUCUGUGCGUGGCUGCGUGCCUUUACAGUAAAGGCAAUUUUUUAGGGUCUACGUGCUGAGCAUUGCUUAUCUAUACCGUUGAAUAUACAUCGAGAUGUGUGAAACAGUCGGGAGAAGUGUGAACACAGUUAAGAGAAGUGCAGCAGCACGAAUCUCAGAGCACAUUUAGAUGAUCCAGAUAAAUAAUGCUGAACAUUUUCGCAAAAAAAAAAAUAAUGCUGAACAUGUACAUGGUGCAUUGCAUUACUGGUAAAAAAGGCAUACGCUGCUGGUCAACAGAGGUAGUACUGCUUUACGGUCUGCGCCGAGCCUCCGACUCCGAGUAUUCCAGCAGGCUAUUCUGGCUCUCGCUCAGGGUUCAGGCGUUGCAGGAAGUGAUUCGGUAGUCCAGUCUUGCGUUGUUUACUUACAAAAUAUUUUGCAAAAUAUAAAUAGUACCAAUUUCGUUUGUAUUUGACAAAUAUUAUCCAAUCAUGGACUAACUGGGCUCAAAAGAUUCGUCUCGUCAAUUCUGACCAAAUUGUGUAAUUAGUUUUUAUUUUUGUCUAUAUUUAAUACUUUAUGUAUAUAUCUAAAGAUUCGAUGUGACAGAGAAUAUAAAAAAUUUUGCAAAAUUUUUUGGAAACUAAACAAGGCCAGUCCCAAAAUCAAAAAGUUUUCAAGAUUCCCCGUCACAUCGAAUCUUGCGGCACAUACAUGAAGCACUAAAUAUAAACGAAAACAAAAACUAUUGAACAGUUCGCCUGUAAAUCGCGAGACGAAUUUUUGAUCCUAAUUAGUCUAUGAUUGGACAAUAUUUGCCACAAACAAACGAAAGUACUACAGUGCCAAAAUCCAAAAGCUUUUCACAACUAAACAAGGCCUUGCAUUGAUUAUACAGUAAUGCUGUGCCAGACGAUUACUACUCUGUAGGGUCAUAUUCCCAAGGUUCCUAGCCAACAUGCAGAACUCCAGAUUUCAGGCAAGGCGGCACAGCUAAACAUAACAGCAUCAGGCGAAAAAUAGAAAUUCAACACUUGUUGGAAACAAAUAGGUGCAUGGUAUAUGGUACACCUAUAUGUUCGCUUGAACUAGUACAGUGUUUUUUCUUCCACAACAAAUCAACAAACAAUAACAUUUUUCAGCAUCAACAUAAGCUAAAUUUCAGCGAAACGAAUAUCGACAUGUAUUUCUCAACAACUGUAUACAAAUAAUCUUGGUUGAUUGGUCCUUAACUCAUUAUGUACUAUCUGACACAACAACACAUGAGCUUUCAGGACCAAAAAAAAAAACAGUUUGGGCACAACUUUACAAAAUAACAACCUUAAGUACAGUUUUCCUCGUCUCUUUUUUUCAUAUUUUUUUGGGUGUGUGUUAGUACAGCCUACUCUAUUCUACUACACAAGCAAUAAUUCCUUCUUUGCUCAAGAAUGUCCAAAACAGGGGAGGAAAACCUAAGUAUGUCAGCAUCUCUAAAAAUCCUAAUGACAGAUGUAUCUAGCAGUAUCCUAAACACACUGGAUUUGAUGUAGCACACCCUUACAAAAGCUCAAGCAUUGGAAAACACUCUCCUUUUAAGGAUAGACAAACACUCUGGUUAAAUGCUAAAAAUCAAAACUGUGAAGAAUAGCACAUCUAGCACUUGUAUGGGCACCUGAGUUUCUUUUGCAAAUUAGCAGAUACUAUCCAACAUGAGUGUACCCUUAUGUGGUGUGCAUCACAUUGGUGAAGUUGAUAGUGGAAUGUCAUAUGAUGUGCGGAAACGAACACCAUUUCCUAUGUUCCUUGAUAUUGGGCAGAGCCAGCACAACAUGUUAGGACCUAGCACCUGUAUAACAAAAAUAAAAAAAAUGUUGGAAGAUCUGUGGUAAUAAUUGUUCACCUCCUGUAUUUAAGCAAUGAACCAAGAAACAACAAUUUCAAGAGAAUAUAUUUGUAACAGAAGCGUAAUAUGAAAAUCCCAGUAAAGAAAUGGAUAUGUGAAAAACAACAUAAACCACACCAGAUAACUAGAUAAGGCAUGCUACUGUCAUCCUAGUCCUUUGAAUAGUCAAAUAUUAAAGCCCAGUCCAUGGGAAUGGAGAAGACACGCUAGUGUUAUAAUCUGGGAAAGGAUUUGUUUAGUUAUUUACAUACCAAUGCACUUAGGCUGAUCUCUCAUUUUUUUUUUUGGCAAAAAUCUUAAUCAUAGAAGUAAAGAAUUGUUCUCACCGAAACUAGGUUCUCAUAGACUCCAAGGUUAUAAGGAUGAUGAUAAAUGUUUCCCGCCUUUUCAGCCAACCACGUAGCCCUAACUCCUUCAUGAUACUGCAAACCACCGAUGUAACUACCAUCAGACAAAAUCUACAUACAAUAAUAUCAUCAGAGACAGAGAUCACAUUUCUCAAACCUCGAUAGUAGUCUUAUUAUGUAAGAUGAGGUAAACAUGCCAACCCAAUAGGACCAUGAGUGCUAACGCUAAAGGGAACAGAAGAACCCCACAAACAAUCUGUGCAAUAUAUAACAUCUGUGUUAUUCAUACAUAACUUCAGAUAAAAAUUCAGAUGGUGAUUGAUUUGCUCGUAGCUGAAACAUCCUUCUAGGGGUACUUACAAUAGAUGUUCUAGAAGAAUCACUGCCUGGUUCUUCAUCUUUAGGUAAAUGCACAGCACCCCCUAUAAUGAGAACCUGGUGUAAACAUCAAUAACUUUAUGCCCAAUCUUUGAGAAGCUUUGGUUGCUCAAGAAAAUCAAGGAUAACACAGUACCAUAGAAUAGACACUUGCAAUUACAGCAUACAGAACAAAAACUAGGAAGAUCUUGUAGUUCUCAUGCCCAACACAGUUAUUAAUCCAAAUACAGUGAUGAUCCUGCACAGGAAAAGUUGUUAAAUGCAUAUUAGAAUUAAGAAUAAAAAAUAGAGGAGUUGCACAAAACACUAGUCGGUACCAUUCUUAGAACACAUCUUUUGCAGACACGGCAAUGGUGCGCUCGAGGAGGCUUAUAAUGGGAACAUUUCUGGCAGUAUCUCAAAUCACCACCCUGCAACGUUCUGGUGUAAGUUAGCACACAGUCCCCUGUACUAGUCUGAUUAAGUCACAAAGAUUCAUUUUUAAUAUUCCUGACAAAAUGAAAUAUUAGGACGACACUGCACAAGAUGAGAUGGAGGAUAACCAGCAAUAUGCAAUCCGCUCAGACUCAUGCGAGUUCAUAAGUAGUGAGAGAUAACUAUUUUCCUAGUCCCACCGAAUGAUGCUUUUGUGCGGUCUGUUUGUAAGUCCGAGACUUCAAAUGGAGUUGAGCUAAGCUAUUUGGCUAAAAAACUGUCGUGUAACUGCUUUGACAUUCUGGUUCUGACUGUAAUACAUGGAUCAUGGUCCCCCUAGAACUCUAAAAAAACUAGGAAAUGCAUGUGAAAGUGAAUCCAAAAAAGAAUGUACUCUUAGUUGUCCUUACACACCGAGAUGUAUUCUUCUGCAAAAAAACAAUGCAAUGAAGAUACUGAACCGAAAAUGGUGUGUAAUCAAAUUCAAGGGCAACUGCAGUACACAAAUUCCAGGACCAGAAUACAACUUGAUGGUAUAUUAGAGUUAAGUAUCAAACUAGCAAUAUAACUAUGGCCACUGUAAGUACAAGAAAAUGUGACUCUAUUAUCUUCCAUAUGCACUCAAUUAAUAUGACAGUGCUUAUUCAAGGAAUGAGAUCUUGUGCCAGGCUUAAUAGGCAAUAUCGAUAUUAAUUCCUUGGAGUCCUGGGAACGAUUGGAGUAUCGAGAUUCUGAAUUGACCUAGAUUUAUUUUAUUUCUUUCCGAAGCUUACCUGAUUGUUAUGAGUUUUUUUUCCAAAGCAACAUACUAUGUCAUUUCUUCUUGUAAGUCUACAUAUAGGACGGUACCAGGUACAGAGCCCUCAUGCUUAGAUCUAGACCGUAGUACCAAAUUUAUACAUACGUACAAGAGAAGACUCCCAGUUCUCACUUGGUGUAAUUUGGAUACAAGUGUCACUCAAUCCGAGUACCAACGGUGAAUGGACAGUGCAAGGAUUCAGAGCAAAGAUGUUAACGCACACCUAUACACAGUUCCUCACUCACCAAAACAUCCCAACACCGAGGCGCUCCAAUAGGUAUAGGACCAUUCCGUGAUCCCAAAUCUCGCGCGUAACUACGAACUCGCCGGACCUUGUUUGCAGGCAAUGCCUGCCCGAAAUCUAAUCCCAAGAUCUGAACUCGCAACGAAGUUUCUGAUUAUACACAUAUGACUACCAUCGCACUACGUAGAUCUAAACUUCGCAGCACGCGGCGGGAGCGCCCGCGAGAUCUGGUGUGGUCCAUGGACCAGACGGAGGGGGGCAUGGGCCGCGAGUAGAGUACCUUGCGCUUGAUCUCGUGGAUGGGGCUCCCGGCGUCCUCGACGUCGGGCACGAAGGACGCCGGCACGCGGCCCGGGUCGCGCGAUACGGCGACGGCGUAGGUAGCGACGCAGGCGGCAGCGAGCGCGGUGAAGACCGUGGCGUUGGCGAGCCCGGCCGCCGUGGAGAGCCCCAGCCACGCGGGGAUCGCCAGGAACACCGUGGUGUAGUAGACAUAGCCGAUCGCGGCGAGCACGGAGAGUAUGGGCACCGUGAUGUACCCCGGGCGCCCCAUCCGAGCCGCCGCCUAGUGCUCCUCUUCCGCCCGGACGGGGCGGCAGAGCAUUCCGGGGGAAAGGAAUCCCUGGCGGCGUCGGCCGGGAGAGGAGCCCGUCCGUCUCGCGCGGACGGUAGGCAGCGGGCACAGGCACAGCGAGCGAAUUGGCUUGCUUUGUACUCCUAGUUAAGCUCGCUUGCUGCCGCGCUGGUGUUUGGCGCGGGGAGAAAAGUGCGCGGGUGGGAGAGGUGAUCGCCGAGGCUGAGAGAGCGAUGGGCUGAGUGCGGUGAGCUGGGGUUGGUAGCGCGUGGACGUCCGGGCGCGUGGUGCCGUGGCCGUGGCGCCGUGCGUCGUGGAUGCAGUUGCGGCAGGGACGUCUGAACCUGCGUCGACGCGACGGCUGCGGCCUUGCGGCAGGGAGAGAGGAGAAUGGGAGAUGAUAUAUUGAUAUACUCCGUAGUACAUCAUGACGAUUGGAGUAUAAAGCUACGGAGUACUGUUUGAAUAUACAAUUAUUUGUUUUAUGGAAUAUUCUUUUAUUGAUUUUUUCAGUGGAAUGGAAUAUAAUUAUUUAUAAUUACCGAGAUAUAGAAAGUCCAAACAGCAGACCCUACACUGCAACAUGGUCCAAUAAGGCCCAUGUACAUGUCAGUCGAGCUCACACUUUGGGCCGAAUGUCGAACGGGGUAGGACGACAUGAUAAGCCCCAAAAAGAAUCAAAGGUAGAAUCCAACGCCGCGUUAAUCUUUCCAAGAAAAGAAUCGUUGAUAGCCCUAGCUGUGAAAUCUUUGGAGCAGUUGAGGAGAGUUUGAAUCAUAUCAUCUUCGAAUGCACUGAUGCCAAUUGACUAUGCUAAUGCUUAUGCUGAAUGCUGUGAGAGAAAAACAAUGUUUGUUCGUUAAAAAAUACUGAGCAGGGCCAAUUGCAUUCUUGAACAAGGUUGGCCUACAUCAAACUAUCGGAAUUUCCACUUGCAAGUUCACAGUCUACCGAAAAUUCAAAACGUUCCAGCGACCAGCAUGCAGUGCAGCAUGUUCUUUGCUUUAUGUUGCUGGCAAUUGUGGAGGCGAAGAAAUGGUGUUUUACUUCUGCAAUGGGCUCACUUCUCCGCGACAGACGCUCAUCUCUUGCUGUUCUGAAGCUAGAGUGCUAGACUUUGGCGUCCAAGAAUGCCAAGGAAACAAAGGCACAUCGCUGAUGCUUGGUGCAAGAUUUUUUAUGACUUAAACACAAACGCUAUGUAAUAUUUAAAGGUUUGUAAGUUCCUAAAUCCCAUCUUCAUACCUCUCCAUCUAUAGCUCUCUAAAAGCACAAAUUAUUUUUUAGUUUCCAUUGACUCCAAAGAGCAACCGAAGAGAACAUAUGUAUGACACCAUUUCUCUUUUUACUUAGCCAAAAAUUUCCUAUAGAAUCUAAAGAACCUCCUAGAUCUCUCCCAAAAACUUUUGAGAGGUCAGCCCACAACUAUUUAGCAAUUGCGCAAUCAAAGAACAAGUGAUUGACAUAUAGCUUGAGUUCAACUGAACCAUUUCAAACAUAUCAUGACCAUCUUAUACAUAAUGUACUUCAUUGAAGCUUGUACAUCUUCUACAAGUUGAUAUUUACAUACAACACUACUUGUUCAGUAAAGUAAAGAAACACAUCACUACACUAAGUUUACAGUUUACGCUAAACACCGUACAUGCCACAGGCACGAUCAAGGUUAUGCAGGUUUUCCUUCCUUACAUGAAAAAAGGAUAAACAUGUUCCAAACUUAGAAACGUUUGGCAGGUUAAGGUUAUGGCCACUGAGGGAACAACUAACCCCCGAGCCAGAGCGGUUACGGUUCGCCAGGCCGCGUCACAGCAUCAGGCCGAGCCGCUCGCUGGCGACGUCGCACUUGACAGGCGCGAGACCGACGCGGCCGCGCUCCAGGUCGUACUCGACCCACAGGUUCAUCUGGUGGUGGUGCCCGAUCACGUACGCCGUCAGGGGCACCAUGUCCGCGUUCCCGAACGUGAGGCACCACACGCCGUCGGCUCCCCGGUGCUCGCCGGGGACCUUGUACAGCAGCCUGUCCCCGGCCACCGACAUCUCCGCGCCAUUGAACAGCAGAGUCACGGGCGGGAGCCUUGCCGACGGCGGCGGGCGCCCCGCGGGCACGCGGAAGCAGGUGUCGAGCGCUUCUUGGAAUGCGAAGCUGGGGUCGUCGAGCGCGCGGAGGAGGGGCUUGGUUUGUUUCAAGAACUCGGCUUUGAGGGCGGAGUAUGCGUCCCCGAGGAGGAAGGUGAACUGCGUGCCGGAGUCCACCAUCGUCUGCCCUGCGCCGGUAUGGUCCGGCGCGAGCACCGACGCCGGGAUUGGCAGUGCCUUGCCGCCGACGCGGAUGCCGAGGAGCUGGACGGAGUAGGCCACGCGGUCGAAGUAGGGGAGCGGCAGGGUGGGCUGAUACAGUGGCGUGUAGUUGAGCGGCAGAAAGGGGAGGUCGCUGUGGCCGAGGAGCAGCACGCCGGCGUCGUCCCGGUCGGAGAUGCAGUACGAGAAGCGGCGCGUGCUGGCCUGCGUCACGAAGGAGAGCGUGCCCCUGUUCAUGCCCAGCAGACCGGCCGUCGCGACGCCGUCGGGGGAGGAGUCAUACGCGGUGGACAUGCAGCCGAACGCGGACCGCAGCGGCGGCGCCUCGCCGACGGCGAAAACGUCGGUGGCGAGCGCUCCAUCGGAGGCGGACCCGUCGGCGUAGGACAGCGACACGUGGCACUGGCGCGAGGCCCCGUCGCAGGACGGCGGCGCAGGCAGGUCCCGGGAGCUGCACUGCGUGGAGCCGCAGGGCACGGCAGCGAACGUGGCCGAGGCCCUCGGGCGGAACGACUCCCCCAUGGCGGCGGCAGCGCCGGCCGCGGCGCUCCCCUGGCGCCCCGUCGCACAGAGCAGCCAGGAGAGCUCGCUGCCGGUGUCGAGCACCAUGGUGACGUUCUGCGGCGGCGUGCCGACGGCGAGCGAGACGGUGAGGCUGACGUUGUGGUGGAACCGCAGCUUGCUCGGCGGCCGCGGCAGCGCUCCCGCCGGCACCUGCCGCGCGCGCAGCGGGAACGCACGAGGCUUGGCGGCCGGCCUCGGCGGCUCGCCGGCGACGGACCACGGCCUCGGCACGGCGACGAGCAAGAUGAGGACGCAGACGAACAGCGGAGGCGGCAUGGUGGUGAUUGCGACCUUGCGGCCGGGGGACUAUGCGGGCAUGUGAUGCGAGGGUGGUGAUGGGUUCUUGUGUUGGAUUCGCGGGUGGGGUUUCUGUUUCGGCCGGCUCGCGGUGGAUUUUAUGGAGGUGGCGCGCAGCGCAGCGCAGCACAGUGGUCCGUCGAGGGGUGAUGACGCGGAGACAUGGGUCAUGGGAUGGCCGGAUGGGGGCGAGGGGGGCAGCCUGCCGGGGCGAGACGCGCCACGCACGCGUCCCUCUCGCCGGGACGAAGCGGCCGCGUCCUUCUGCCUGUCGUCUUGUGGUUUCGGUACUGGCGAGCGCCAGCCGGGGCUAGUCACGGAUAUUUUUGUAGUAGCUUCCUGCCACUCUGCAUUUUUCUGCAACACAGGUUUUUACCGCUCCAAGCUACUGUAAAGAGUACAAACGUCACGAUAAAAGUCUACACGUGCCACAGAACAUCUUCUUGCAACAGUAGGUCAUUUGUCAAUUCGGUGCCCCGUGCCAAGCAUUGGUGCUGAUUGAUGAAUAUGGCGUGUGUUGUGCAUGCGGACGCAGCAUAGUGUCCUGGUGCACUGCGAGCUCGACAGGUAUGGUCGUAAGGUUGGUUUGCGCUCUAGACGAACCGUACUCCGCUUAAACCCGACACGUUAGACUCACACUCACUUUGGUGGUCUUUCCGCACGGCCGGAACUUUGGCCUAUUUUGCGCCGAAAACAAGCACCUUUUGCUAAAAGCACUUCGACUAAUGUAGUACAUCCCAUGAUUAAUUCGCCGUAGGUACGUAUUGUCCGGUACAAAAAAAAAAUGAAAAGAUAAGCCUUUGGCCGGUGGCAUCAUCGGCAAUGUCAUGUAAGCUCUGAGCUGAAUCGACUGAUCUUUUUCACCGUGAAAUUGCAACAAUUUCCAGUUGAAACUUGGCCGUCUACCAAGUGUCCAAUCAUCCCAUCCGUGACAGUACGUCCAUCCAUCGAAGUUAUGGUCUCAUCUACCGCCACGACUCGGCACUCGGCAGGGAUCCAUGCAUGGAAGCUCCCAGUGGUGGUAAUAGUAUACUGUAUACGCGUACAGCUCGCAUCAAAAGGGUGCGGUGAAUGCGAUGCCUGCCUUCCGUUCCAAGCAGGGGAGGCAGCGCAUUCAAGCUACGUAACCAAAGCAAGUACCGCAGAUUAAAGGCGAGCUCGAGCCUUUUUGCCCCGGGGACAAGUGCAAACCAUUCGUUCGCCACGCCACGCGAUGCGGUCUGCCCGUUUCGGCUCGCCGUCGCGCCGACCCUCGCUGGUCGCUGCUGCUCGAGUUCAACAGUUCACCGUCUCACGGUCUCACCCACUCUCACCUCUGCGGAGACUGCACGUCGGCGGCGAGCCGGCGACGGCGCGGCCUGGCCGAGCGACCGCUCCCGCUCCCGCGCUCUGCAAUCUGAACUCGCGCGCGCGGCGGAAGCAAUGCUCGCCACGCGCCGGUGCCGGGCGCCGCCCUAACCGGUGCAGGCCGGGAGCUUUGUUAGUAGCUACAGUAAUCAUGGCCCUCUAUCUUACUCCUGACACUUUGAUUAUAUUUUAAUGGUCGGUGUGGUACGUGUCUUGGUUAGCUAGCGCGGGCAUAAAUUCGAAAAAACCAGUACCAGUACCACCACAGCACGCAUACGACACUGCAAUGUGCAGGGCACGAGUUAAAGAAGAUUUCCUCCGCUCUGUCCUCACCACUCGCUUUGAUUACUGUAAACAAAACCGCACAGAGAACGUGCACACCGGGCCGGGGUUAGAAGCACGAGUGGCCUCGGAGAAGGCGUGUUCGUUCCCCUGCUUCCAUAUACGGAGUACAAAAAAAAAAAAACAAAAGAAACGCCGAUAUCGUGCGUGGGGAACAACAUGGAAGGUUGCAGCUUACACUAGGACCGAGCCCACUCGUGGCUGCACUGCACGCACCGAUCCGUUGUUUCAGGAAUUCAGGGUCCGCCCUGCGAGGAAGAGGAAGUUUUGCCAUCCAUGGACACUCCGAUAUACUCGUAGUGUAGGGGUAGCCGUGUAGGGGUAGCCGCAGCUGGAAACAGCGCGGCUGCAAAAAGGAUACAUUCCCAAUUUCCCAUUUACCGUCCACCUAGGCCUUCUUUAGUUCAAAAUUUUUUUGAAAAAUUGACACUUUAGCACUUUCGUUUGUAUUUGACAAAUAUUAUCCAAUCAUAGACUAACUAAGCUCAAAAGAUUCGUCUCGUUAAUACAUGCGUCUAAAGAUUCGAUGUGAUGAGAAUCUGAAAAAUUUUGUAAAAUUUUUUAGGAACUAAACAAGACGAUGCUACUGAAUACUGAUGCAUGCAAAUGAACUUUGAACUUUCCGAGAUGAUACCGAUCCAGACAUUCCGAGAUGAUACCGAUCCAGACAUUCAAGUAAAUAGUACUAGUACUAGUCUGUACGUGACACGUCGAGCGCGCCGCCGCCCAAGUCGGCGCCCGUCCAAAUGACUGGGCUUGGCCAUGGUCCUGGUCCAUGCCCCUGCUCCGCGGCGGCUGUUCGGUGAGGAAGACAGCGGCAGCUCUCGCGGACUGAUCGGGAUCACGUCGAACGUACUGGGAACUGGAAUUAUUAAUUGGUCGGGGGUCACUAAUCAACAACAAGGCCUUGUUUAGUUUCGAAAGAUUUUGGAUUUCGGUACCGUAGCAUUUUCGUUUUUAUUUGACAAAUAUUAUUCAAUCAUGGACUAACUAUGCUCAAAAGAUUCAUCUCGUGAUUUACAGUCAAACUGUGUAAUUAAUUUUUAUUUUUGUUUAUAUUUAAUACUUCAUGCAUGUACCGCAAGAUUUGAUAUGAUAUGAAAUUUUGAAAACUUUUUGGAUUUUGGAGUGAACUAAACAAGUUCCAAGCAACGAGCCAAAAGAUAAGUAAGGCCCUGUUUAGUUCCUAAAAAUUUUCUUUUCGUCUCGUUACAUCGAAUAUUUAAACAUAUAUAUAAAACAUUAAAUAUAAAUAAAUAAUAAAUAAUUAUACAGUUUAUUUGUAAUUUAUGAGACGAAUUUUUUAAACCUGAUUAGUUUAUAAAUAAAUAUUAAUUAUUAAAUAAAAUAUAAAUGUUAUGGUAGUUAAAUCUAAAAAAAUCUGUCGACUAGUAAACAAGACCUGAUUACCCCUGCUGCUACUACUACUACGACAGUAGUAAUAUCAAACAUAAUAUGAUGAAGGUCGAGCGGCCCUCUUUGCUUCAACUUAUAGUUUUAUAGGCAGGCCCAUCUCAUCGAUCGGGACUCGGACGUUGAACGAUGUCGUCACUGACAUGUGAUGCAUGCAUGCGCAGUUCUUCCACGAUUGUUCUGAACCGGGCCCGGAGGGGUAGGUGGAGUAGUAUUGCAGCUGCACAGCGCGAACCGGCAGGCACUGCUGCUAGUCGAAUGAUGAGUGGAGUCAUAAAAAAUAGAUUUUGAUAUUAUAAUAUUUUUAUUUAUAUUUAGUAAUUAUAUAUGUAUGUAUGUGCGGCGAUAUUUGAUAUAGCGAGAAAUAAAGUUUCUAUAUUUUUGUUUCAAAACUAAACACACCAAGCCACGUAGUACGUCGACGGAUGCGGUCAUGCGGCGAUGCGGAUGAGCGGAAGGACUAGCCUCGAUAUCGAGCCAGCUCGCCUCGUCACAGCUCGACUCGUUAGUAUUCUAGCUCGGCUCGGCUCGUUACACUAACGAGCUAGAACAGCAGCUCGGCUCGACUCGCUAAGUAGCUCGAGCAGCUCGUUUUGGCUCGUAAGCCAAACAUUAAAAACACAUUACAGCAAGAUGCAACUAAGCAACAAACCAAAAAACAAAAUAAACGAUCCACAAUUUAACUUGUAGACAAGAAACAAGCCAAGAAUAUAUCAAAUCAUUCAUUGAUCCACAAUUUAUAAAGUUUAAAGGCAGUCCCACUGCACACCACAAGUCCAAGACCAUUACAUAAUUUAUCAUCCAUACAAAAUUAAUCAAAGAUUGGGCUGGGCUAAGAUCGCCGCAUGGAGCAUGGGAUGCACGACCAUAUGACCAUAUGGGCCAAGCUAAUUUGAGUUUUGGCUUGUGAAUUUACUAGCUCAUACGAGCUAACGAGCUGCUCGCGAGCUAGCUCGAGCUGGCUCGAGCUACCUUAUUAUAAAACAAGCUGGCUUGUUAAGAAACGAGUCGAGCUCGAGCCGAGCUAUUAACGAGCGAGUCGAGCGAGCUACCGAGUUUCGAGUUUUUCGUCUAGGCUUAGGAAGGACCAAGGGGCGAUGGCGGUACAGGUGUGGCGUUGGAUCCGCUCGAUCUAUUGCACGGUUGGGAGUCGCUCUCGCGAGGGCAAGGCCCAUGGCUGUCUCGGGCCGGUGGCGCUGCCCCAGGGGAUUGCGAGCAAUCAUGGCGGGUGCGCCCGGUUACGGCUAGUUGUCGACGGAGCCAGAGGCGGCGGGCCGGAGAGGUCAUAAUCAAGGGAUUGCAAACUGUAGAUAUCAGCUGGUGCAGUUCUUCAAUAUGCAUGGCCUCUCCAACCCACCGGAUUGAAGGAUCAAUCCUUUUACUCAGUCUUUCUUCAACCACUUAGCAGGGUCUUCUAGGAUUAUCAAAGUCAACAGGCAUUUAAACACAACAGCCCACACUUUAGAACGUCUAGUUGCGCAGCUAGAGUAAAUAAGAGGGUGAUGUAUUUUUCUUAUAUAAACAUAAACUCGAGCUAUAAUUAUGAUGAAAAAUUGAUUUAUUCAAUGACGUUUAAUCUUUUCGUGGGUGCAUGUGCACCCACUGUCUUAUAUCGGCUACAGCUCUACAUCGUUAGAUUUUCACAAUUGUUGUACUCAUGUGAGCUGUGACUACUAGUGUUCUGUAAUGUAAGCUCUGUAAUCGGUAGAUUUAUCAGAUGUAACGAUUCUCACAGCUCAUGCAGCCAAUAAUAAAUCCGUUUGUUGUAAAAGAGACUGCCUGCGUGUGCUUUGUGCGUGCAAAAAGAGUGUGGGCAUAAUUUUGGCAUUUUUGGAGAUUAACUUUUGACGUGUGCUUGUUCAGCUGAAUUGAGGCCUUGUUUAGUUUAUUUCGAAAUCCAAAAGUUUUUCAAGAUUCUUUGCCACAUCGAAUCUUGCGGUACAUGCAUGAAGCAUUAAAUAUAGACAAAAACAAAAAUUAAUCACACAGUUUGACUGUAAAUCGCGAGACGAAUCCUUUAACCCUAAUUAGUCUAUGAUUGAACAAUAUUUACUACAAACAAACGAAAAUGCUACAGUAUCGAAAUCCAAAUUUUUUUCACAUCUAAAUAAGGCUGAACAAAGAUGACCCGCGCCGGAUGCAAGGCAUUCCUUCGUCACUCAUCAGCGCACAGUCUGCCGGUCAUCGCUUAUUCUCUCUCUUUAUGAAACAUUGUCAUGCAUGAAAAAUACAUGUGUGGUAAGCUAUUAAAUGUUAAGUAAGCUCUCAUAAAACUUGUACUAAGGCUGACUUUAUACACUCUGUUUUGGGUCAGCUUGGGGGGGGGUGUUCUAAAAGGAUCUCCACCUGUAAUAUAUUCCACAGAUGCCGGAGAAUCGGAUGGUGGAAGGCUUCAUUACAAAUCAAAGGUUGAGGGUUGAGGAGAUAGAAAGAGUGUUGCCGCGCGCAUCUCCAUUGCCGCAGCGUUACUCGAGGAUGCGGCAGUUCCAUGCUUUUGAUCAAUUCCUUGCAUGCUGAGUUGAGUCUUGCCGCAUCUGCCUCCAUCCUUUGAAAGACAACAUCCUUACACACUCUUGAAACCCACUGUUUUAAGGGGCAAUAUGCUCGAAACUCCCACAUUCGUUGUUGUGGACAUAGCAGAGCAUCACCAACCAAACCAUCUGCACGGGCGAGAAAAGGCACUAGGGCACGACUACGCCGAGGAGCCGCAGGGCACCGAGCAGGGUCAGUGGUGUUGAGGUGCAGUAGGGCGGGAAUUGAGGCACCGAGCAGGGUCGGAGGCGAGCGAGGCAUCAGUCAGGAUAACAAUAGAAGGGAAGACGAGGGGAAAACAAAAGAAGGAAGAAAAAAAUGGGUAAGGAUGUGAAACUGUUUUACCAUUUUUUAAAAAAUAACAGCUUUAGCUACAUCAGUGGGGUUGCUCUUUGAGCUGGGGAAAAAAUGCUCCACAAGCGAAGAAAGAUGCAUCAAACGGACCCUAAGAUUUCAAACAACAUUUGAUUUUGAGGCCUUGUUCAGUUGCCGAAACGAAAAGUUUUCAACAACUGUACCACUUUCAUUUGUUUAUGCAAAAUAUUGUUCAAUUAUAGACAAACUAGGCUUAAAAGAUUCAUCUUGUGAUUUAGAAAAACUGUAAAAUUAGUUUUUGUUUUUUACUAUAUUUAAUAGUUUAGGUAUGUAUCAUAAGAUUCGAUGUGACCGAAAAAUUUAAAAAGGUUUUGUAUUUUAACACGCCUGAAAUUCGGCAAGCAGAGACCGAGCAUGGUAGUACUAGAGUCCAGCCGUCCAAGUUGGCGGCCUGGCGGUGGCGGGUGCUCAACAGCGCCCACGCUUGACUUCUCGCACCGCCGACCAUCGCCCGUGCUCAUGCCCGCGCCGGCAGGGCCGGCUCCACUGACCACAGCGGCUAUUCGGAGAGGACGACACGAUCGAUCGAACUAUCGCAGGCUGAUCGGCGCGGUCCGUAGCUGACCGCGAAUCAGCAAUCAUAACGAACUAAACGCUCCGAAAUGAUGAUCAUGCCGACCGCCGCUGACGAGCUACCAGGCGUCACGAGACACAAAUGAUUCGCUGGAGAUAGGCCCAUCAUCAUGAGCAACGCCAUGUUUACAUUUCCAAAAUUUUUUUGUAAAAUAUGAAUAAUGACACUUUCGUUUGUAUUUGAUAAAUAUUGUUUAAUCGUGGACUAACUAGAAUCAAAAGAUUCGUCUCGUCAAUUUCGACCAAACUGUGUAAUUAGUUUUUAUUUUUAUCUACAUUUAAUACUCCAUACAUGCGUCUAAAGAUUCGAUGUGACAGGAAAUUUAAAAAAUUUUGCAAAAUUUUUUAGAACUAAACAAUGCCCAAGCAGUUCAGCUUCAGCACGGUACCGGGCUACCGGCGAACAGGAGAUACCAGCCAUCGGACCCUUGUGGUUGGGUAGGUGGAGUGGAGCACGUAUAGUGCUGCACAGCCGGGCACUUCUGCUACUCGACAAUGCAUGCAGUCCAUGGACCGUCCGUCCAUCCAUCCGUGUUCCGUGCCAUGGUCCAUGUUGAAGGAUGUGGAUGGGCGGAAGCACGGUGCAGGUGCAGGUGCAGGUGCAGGUGCAGGUGCAGCGCUGGAUCAGCUCGAAUGCUCGAUCUAGGCCUUGUUUAGUUCCAAAAUAUUUUGCAAAAUGGAUACUGUAGUUUUUUCGUUUGUAUUUGACAAAUAUUGUCCAAUCAUGGACUAACUAGGCUCAAAAGAUUUGUCUCGUCAAUUCCGACCAAACUGUGCAAUUAGUUUUUAUUUUUGUCUAUAUUUAGUACUUCAUGCAUGUGUCUAAAGAUUCGAUGUGACGGGGAAUCUGAAAAAUUUUGCAAAACUUUUUGGAAACUAAACAAGGCCCUACACCUGCUUGCACAGCUGGCUGUCACUCUCGCGAGGCCAUGGCCCCCAUGGGUAGCUGCUGCGCCUGCGCAUGCUGCACAGUCGGGCUGCCCCGGCCAGAAGUUUUCGAUCAAGGCCUUGUUUAGUUCCGAAAAAUUUUAGGAAAUCGACACUGUAGCACUUUCGUUUGUAUUUGACAAAUAUUGUCCAAUUAUAGACUAACUAGGCUCAAAAGAUUCGUCUCGUCAAUUUCGACUAAACUGUGCAAUUAGUUUUUAUUUUUAUCUAUAUUUAAUACUUCAUGCAUGCGUCUAAAGAUUCGAUUUGACGGGGAAUGUGAAAAAUUUUGCAAAAUUUUCUGGGAACUAAACAAGGCCCAAUCAUGGAGGGCAUGCGCCGCGCAGUUGCGCGUAGCUGUCGGGAGACGCAGGAAGCACCGAAGCAGCAGCGGCUCGGCUGCCCCCGGUGGCCCGGGACCCGGCGCUGAGCGCUGCCUGCGUGCGUGCGUGCGCGCGCCGUGCGCGAGCGCAACAGGUCAUAUCUGUACCGCACUGCACGGGGCCGGGGGCUUAAUUUGGUGCCCGUCGUGGGACCUUUCGCCGUUAUGAUGCUGCGACGUGGCCCGAACGGCAGAGAUCAUCAUGGUUUGGAGACAGGGGACCUGUGUGUGGCCCCUGAAAAAGAUCCCAUGGCCUAGUUGUACACUUGCACUAGCCGACUCGUUCGUGUCCUGAUCGCCCACGGGCCAAUUGCUUUCGGUGCAUGGGCCUUGUUUAGUUUAUAAAUAUUUUUAAAAUUUUCUCGUCACAUCAAAUCUUUAUGAGCCAAAAUUUCAAGCCAAACAAGGCUUCACCUGUUGAUCAAGCGUUAGAGCAAGUUUAAUAAUACAGCCCACUUGAUGACUGUAAGGUUCUUUACGGCCUUUUUUCAGCCCACCCAUACAAUAGUUAGCUAUUCACUAUUAAUAUAUGACCCACUUAUCUCUCUCAUAAAGUUUUUUGGUUAUUGUGUCUAAGCUGGCUGUAAGCUUACAGCCUGCUUCUCCUCUCUCUCCUCCCUUCUCUCCUCCACAUCAGCAUUUAGUCAGCUUACAGCUCACCAUAAUACUUGCUCUUACCGGCAUCAGUACAAGAUUUCGGGCGUUGAAAUGGAAGGGAAGCUACUCUGACUGUUUGUUGGGCCGAACAUGCUGUUGAACAGAAGAAUUUGUACUAACUGUGCUGCUAUCGUUUUUGAACAAAAGCAGAACUUCAAGACACACUGUCAUCAAGUCAAGAUGGCCGAGUUGGUCUAAGGCGCCAGUUUCAGGUACUGGUCCGAAAGGGCAUGGGUUCGAAUCCCAUUCUUGACAAUUUUUUUCACAUUUGUUUGCUCAUUUAUUUUUUUUCCUUUCUUUGCUCAAUGCAUCGCUUUGGCAUUAUUUUUUUCGCCUUACAUGCUGAAGGCAUCGCAAGAACAUUUUUUAAUAUAAUAAAGCUUACUUUGUUUAAUAUAUAUCAUUUACCUCUUUUUUUUUAGUUUUUGUCUCAGUGUUCUUACUUUGCAUUUUUUGCUGAAUGCAUCGCUGAACCUUUUGAAUAUAGUGAAGGUUAAUUUGUUAGUAUAUACCAUUUACCUUUUUUUUAGUUUUUUUUGGUCUCGUACAGGUCACCUUAGUGUUCUUAAUGCAUGGUUGAACCUUUUUAAUAUAAUAAAGCUAUUUUGUUUAAUAUUAAUAUAUAUGCUUGGACUUGGUAGAAGUUGAAACGUUCCUCUCUUCCUGAAACUAUACACAGCAGUCGACCAUGGAGAGGUUUGCAGUUUUCUUUGGCCUGGUUUAGUUUUCAAAAAAUAUAUAUAUUUAAUCUGUCUAAAUAUUUGGUACGAUGGAUAAUAAAUUUUAACAAACGCAACCAAACGAGGCCGACGUCGUCGACGCACUCAAGGGUGAUGGAGCGCGGGGGAGCUGCAGCGGGUGCAGCCGGUGCCGGCGACAAGUUCGCCCUGAGCACAGGGGCGCCGGAGGCGACUGCAUCCGGAGCAACAGAAAGGCUGCCGCUGGUGGCUGGUGCUACUGCUGCGCAUCAGCAUCACCGACACUUCUGAGUACGUAAAACAUUUAUCUAAGCGGCCUUGGCCCAACAUAUACUUCGCCCUUCCUCCUCCCAAAUGAUUAUCCGAUUCUCGGCCUGACUCGUAUAUGCCGGACAGUUUCUAGCCCAGCCCAUUACUAUAUACAGCUGCUAGUGAGAGUACCAAGGCGUUGGUACGGUACAGUUUCGAUUAGAAAGGCUGGAUGAGUAAAACUGCCUAGGAUAUGGUUUAAGCCAAGGAUCUCAAAGGAUAUGUUUUAAGCCAAGGAUCUCAAAGGAAUCCAAUAGAAUGAGAUCAAGAUCAAACUUAACAUGGGUUGGAAACAUGCAACAAAUGAUUGAGACUGCCCAGCAGAAACUGUGCUCAUUUCAGUUUAGACUUGGCCACGAUAUUAUGCGGUCAGGGGAUUUAUCUGGUGGAGCUAGUUUGUGGUGAGGCUCCUACAGAUGUACUCGGUUUGAAACCCGCUAAUCUGAAGGGAGAAGGGGUAUUCGCUAACGAAGACUCGACACUUUUAAUGAUUGACCGAGGGUGCGAAAACAAUAAUCAUUUUGUCUGAAGCGAGUGGUUGAAAUGUUUUCCGGGACCCAUUGUUUGACAAUGAUUCUUUGUUUUCUAGUUAGAAUCAGAAACCAUUUCUCACUUCCAAAUGGAACUUUAAUAUGAAUUUUUAGUCAUAAUCUUUUGUGUACAGUACGUAAAGAGUUUUGUAUAGUCCAAUGUUAUUGUAAUUUGUUUAGACCAUAAUUCACCUCCUCUCUAGGCCAUCUAGUUAUUAUUUUUACUAUACUUGCAAGUGAACUGGAUAUCUUUUUUCUAUAAUUUCCUAUUUUAUUGUCCGUUUGACUUAUAAACUGGCUGAUUCGAUGUUCUAUAGUGAGAUGAAUUAUUUUACACUCAAAUUCUAAAUUAUAGAUCAUUUUGUCUAGUCUAGACAUAGUGUAUAUCUUAGCUCUAGCAAAGUUACAUAUCUAGAAAAACUAAAAUAACUUAUAAUUUAAGAUGAAGGGAAUAAUAUCUUGAUUUCCGUACAAUCUUGCCUUUGUCAGUGCACUAUUAGUGUAAGAUAAAAUCAUGCGAAAUAAACUAGUCCUAACAAUGUACUUUUUUGUCAAUAACUUUGUUAGAGCAUCUAAAUAGAUGGUCUGAAACUCUAGAUUUUUAUGAAUACGUUUAAGGCUACUCUACAAACUUUACUCCGUAAACUCAUCAUAGAGCAGCUUCACACUUCAAACACGGAGCAGAGGAGUCGAGCUACGUUUAUCCUGUUUAUCCUAUUGCUUGUGAUGUACAGGAGUAUAGGAGUACAAAACUGGCAAACAGCACAUGAACACGGAUCACAGCCUUCCAUUUCCUGGAAAACCACAAGGCGUCCCCUGAUGGGCUUAUCCAUAAUUUACCCCCCCCCAAGAAUGGAAGCUUGUUGCGGUUUUUUCUUUUCAUGGAGUCCUCGUCAGAGUGGCGCAUGCCCGCAUCUCCCCGUUCGUCGCAGCUCGCACGAGCGAAUCUAGGGCCAGACACGUGGCAUCCACAUCCAUGUGCUCGGGGUCCGCUUGGGCUCUUUUUUUACGGCGGGACCCACCUUGACCCUAAUCCAAAUUAAAGAGAAGACCAAGGACUACUCACCAACAGUCAUGCAUAUUAAUGGAUAAUCUUAAAUCUUAACCCCUUCACUAAAAAUGGUAAAAAAGGAGUAAAUUCUGUACAGGCGUGGGGCCCGCAGGUCAGGCAGAAAUAACUGCGGUGCCAUCUCCUGCGCUGAAGUAAUAAAAGUUUUGGAGUUAUAAAACCCUAGGGGUUCUUGCGUCAGUUUACAUCUCCACCGUCGGCGUCUGGAUCCAACGUUUCCUGCGCCGCGGAGGCUCGUGCUUAUCACUCCGCCGUCUCCUUCCUCGGGCUCGCUCCCCCUCUGCUGAUUACUGUGUGCUCUCUCUCCUCUCCCCAUCCUCUUCUCCGAGCAGCUCGAAGCUUCCGGCGCCUGGAAUGGCGGAAUCGCUGCCCGAUCAGUGUCCAAUCUGAGCCUGGGCGUCCCCGAAUCGUGCCUCCCCGUCCCGAUCUUCCAGAAUCCCGAAGAAAUCGGUGUUGGAAUGGAGGGCUCCGCACCGAUCGGGCUGCUGCUGCUCGAUUCGAUGGUGCUUUGGCCUGGGGCGUCGGGAGAGCCGCAUCUUCUGUGACUGAGCUGUUUUUCUCGUGCUGGUUCGCGCAGGCUUGGACCGUGCAGAGCGGCGUCUUACGCCGGGAGGAGGUAACUGGGGUGCGGCGUCUGUACGGGAUUUCCAUUGGGGGUUUCGGCGUGUUCAUUGUCUCAUUCUUUGUGGUUUCUGUUCCUAGGGUUUGUUGAAUGAUGAGCACCAGCGCCGUGGCUAUGCGUGGGGAGAUUGGCGGCGGGGGCGGCGAGGGAGGGGAGGAAGAGUUGGAGGACGAGCUCGAAGCGCUGCUCAGCUCCGGCGCCGGUGGCCAGCGGCGGCGACCAGCGGACGCGGGCGAGAGGGAGAGAGAGCGUGAGCUCAGCAUGUUCCGGAGCGGCUCGGCGCCGCCGACCAUAGAGGGUUCUCUGAACGCCAUCAGCGGCCUGCUCCGCGGUGACGGGGAGGUGGCGGUGACGGCUGCCCCGAUUCCUGUUGCUGAGGCGUUGAACGGGCAUAGUGACCUGCUCUCGGAGGAGGAGCUCCGGGCCGAUCCAGCCUACCUGUCUUACUACUACUCUCAUGGAAAUCUUAACCCGAGGCUGCCACCACCGGUGCUGUCCAAGGAGGAUUGGCGGUCAACCCAGCGCCUGAAAUCUGGGGUGGUUGGGGGGAUUGGGGACAAGAGAAAGCCU
rnacentral:lncRNA from 1 species